GUAACAAGGUUUCCGUUGGUGAACCAGCGGAGGGAUCAUUACCGAGUUAUACAACUCAUCAACCCUGUGAACAUACCUAUAACGUUGCCUCGGCGGGAAUAGACGGCCCCGUAACACGGGCCGCCCCCGCCAGAGGACCCCCUAACUCUGUUUCUAUAAUGUUUCUUCUGAGUAAACAAGCAAAUAAAUUAAAACUUUCAACAACGGAUCUCUUGGCUCUGGCAUCGAUGAAGAACG
rnacentral:misc_RNA from 1 species